rnacentral:pre_miRNA from 1 species
UGACGUCACCGGCAUCCGCAUCGUCAUUGUCAUCAUCACUGAUGACGUCAUCAGUGAUGAUGACGAUGACGAUGCGGAUGCCGGUGACGUCAU